AUCCAUCUGACGAAUCUCAAAUAAGGCGAAACGCGCAUUCUGGAU
rnacentral:hammerhead_ribozyme from 1 species